rnacentral:lncRNA from 1 species
GACUCCCAACGACCUCCUUUUGUCCUACUAUCUUUUCCCUGGAAGCACAAAAUGCUUUUCGCAAAAAAAUUUAAGCUGAAAUAUCCUGUUCGGCGAUUGAAAGAACUUAAGAAAAAAAGAACUGGAUGCUUCUGAUUAAUUGGUUAAAGCUGAAAUAUCAUGUUCGGCGAUUGAAAGAACUUAAGAAAAAAAGAACUGGAUGCUUCUGAUUAAUUGGUUAAAGCUGAAAUGUCCUAUUCGCCACGGUAGAAAGAACUUAAGAAAAAAAAACUGCAUGCUUCUGGUUAAUUGGUUAAAGCUGAAAUAUCCUGUUCGUCGACAUCUGUUUACUGAGGCCUUUGGCUUGGAAUUCUGAUGAUGCCUCCGGAACUGCAAUUUACCUAAUGUGCUUGAUUCAUAAGAAG